GUGGGGAAUUUUGGACAAUGGGCGCAAGCCUGAUCCAGCAAUGCCGCGUGCAGGAAGAAGGCCUUCGGGUUGUAAACUGCUUUUGUACGGAACGAAACGGUCCUGGCUAAUAUCCGGGGCUAAUGACGGUACCGUAAGAAUAAGCACCGGCUAACUACGUGCCAGCAGCCGCGGUAAUACGUAGGGUGCGAGCGUUAAUCGGAAUUACUGGGCGUAAAGCGUGCGCAGGCGGUGCUGUAAGACAGGCGUGAAAUCCCCGGGCUCAACCUGGGAAUUGCGCUUGUGACUGCAGUGCUGGAGUACGGCAGAGGGGGAUGGAAUUCCGCGUGUAGCAGUGAAAUGCGUAGAUAUGCGGAGGAACACCGAUGGCGAAGGCAGUCCCCUGGGCCUGUACUGACGCUCAUGAACGAAAGCGUGGGGAGCAAACAGGAUUAGAUACCCGUGUAGUCC
rnacentral:rRNA from 1 species